rnacentral:tRNA from 1 species
AAAAACUUAGGAUACUAAAACCAAGGGCCUU